rnacentral:rRNA from 1 species
CUAUACAUGCAAGUCGAGCGCGGGAAGCAGGCAGAUCCUCUUCGGAGGUGACGCCUGUGGAACGAGCGGCGGACGGGUGAGUAACACGUGGGCAACCUGCCUGUAAGACUGGGAUAACCCCGGGAAACCGGGGCUAAUACCGGAUAAUACUUUUCGUUGCAUAACGAGAAGUUGAAAGGCGGCUUUUAGCUGUCACUUACAGAUGGGCCCGCGGCGCAUUAGCUAGUUGGUAAGGUAACGGCUUACCAAGGCGACGAUGCGUAGCCGACCUGAGAGGGUGAUCGGCCACACUGGGACUGAGACACGGCCCAGACUCCUACGGGAGGCAGCAGUAGGGAAUCUUCCGCAAUGGACGAAAGUCUGACGGAGCAACGCCGCGUGAGUGAUGAAGGUUUUCGGAUCGUAAAACUCUGUUGUCAGGGAAGAACAAGUGCCGUUCGAAUAGGGCGGCACCUUGACGGUACCUGACCAGAAAGCCCCGGCUAACUACGUGCCAGCAGCCGCGGUAAUACGUAGGGGGCAAGCGUUGUCCGGAAUUAUUGGGCGUAAAGCGCGCGCAGGCGGUCCUUUAAGUCUGAUGUGAAAGCCCACGGCUUAACCGUGGAGGGCCAUUGGAAACUGGAGGACUUGAGUACAGAAGAGGAGAGUGGAAUUCCACGUGUAGCGGUGAAAUGCGUAGAGAUGUGGAGGAACACCAGUGGCGAAGGCGACUCUCUGGUCUGUAACUGACGCUGAGGUGCGAAAGCGUGGGGAGCGAACAGGAUUAGAUACCCUGGUAGUCCACGCCGUAAACGAUGAGUGCUAGGUGUUAGGGGGUUUCCGCCCCUUAGUGCUGAAGUUAACGCAUUAAGCACUCCGCCUGGGGAGUACGGCCGCAAGGCUGAAACUCAAAAGAAUUGACGGGGGCCCGCACAAGCGGUGGAGCAUGUGGUUUAAUUCGAAGCAACGCGAAGAACCUUACCAGGUCUUGACAUCCUCUGCCAAUCCUAGAGAUAGGAUGUUCCCUUCGGGGACAGAG